rnacentral:lncRNA from 1 species
AUUUACUUAUAGUAUAACUAAUCGCUGUAUUUUAAUAUCAAAAAUAAGACAACGCGUGACCGAACGACGCAUGGAUUAAACGAGUGCGCAGCACGAGUUUAAUCCAUAGCGGCGUUCGGUCACAAGUUGUCUUAUUUUUGAUAUUCAAAUACGGCGAUUAGUUAUUCUUUUUAUUACAUUGGCAAAUGGCUUUUUUUAUGACAUUAAUGUAGAAAAUGUAAGGAACUAUAUCUUUUUCAUACGCAUUGACAAUUUGUUUUGAUCCGACGUUAUCGACGUCUUGACAACGCCUAUUGUU